rnacentral:rRNA from 1 species
GACGAACGCUGGCGGCGUGCCUAACACAUGCAAGUCGAACGGGACCAGGGGCAACUCUGGUUCAGUGGCGGACGGGUGCGUAACACGUGAGGAACAUGACCUUGGCGGGGAGUAGCCGGCCCAACGGCCGGGUAAUAACCGCGUACGACCACAUGGGGACGAUCCCUGAGUGGUGAAAGCAGCAAUGCGCCGAUGGAGUGCCUCGCGGCCUAUCAGCUAGUUGGUGAGGUAACGGCUCACCAAGGCGACGACGGGUAGCUGGUCUGAGAGGAUGGCCAGCCACAUUGGGACUGAGACA